CCAAUAGCGUAUAUUAAAGUUGUUGCAGUUAAAAAGCUCGUAGUUGAAUUUCGGGAUUGACGUGAUGGUCGUGCCUUACGGGGUAUGAACUGUUGCUGUUGAUUUCUCACCUUCUGGAGAAACUUGAUGUCCUUAAUUGGGUGUCUUGCGGAUCCAGGACCUUUACCUUGAAAAAAUUAGAGUGUUUAAAGCAGGCAUUU
rnacentral:rRNA from 2 species